AUUGAACGCUGGCGGCAGGCCUAACACAUGCAAGUCGAGCGGAUGAAGGGAGCUUGCUCCUGGAUUCAGCGGCGGACGGGUGAGUAAUGCCUAGGAAUCUGCCUGGUAGUGGGGGAUAACGUCCGGAAACGGGCGCUAAUACCGCAUACGUCCUGAGGGAGAAAGUGGGGGAUCUUCGGACCUCACGCUAUCAGAUGAGCCUAGGUCGGAUUAGCUAGUUGGUGGGGUAAAGGCCUACCAAGGCGACGAUCCGUAACUGGUCUGAGAGGAUGAUCAGUCACACUGGAACUGAGACGCGGUCCAGACGCCUACGGGAGGCAGCAGUGGGGAAUAUUGGACAAUGGGCGAAAGCCUGAUCCAGCCAUGCCGCGUGUGUGAAGAAGGUCUUCGGAUUGUAAAGCCCUUUAAGUUGGGAGGAAGGGCAGUAAGUUAAUACCUUGCUGUAUUGACGUUACCAACAGAAUAAGCACCGGCUAACUUCGUG
rnacentral:rRNA from 1 species